UACGUAGGGUGCGAGCGUUGUCCGGAAUUAUUGGGCGUAAAGAGCUCGUAGGCGGUGUGUCGCGUCGGCCGUGAAAACCUGCAGCUUAACUGUGGGCUUGCGGUCGAUACGGGCAUCACUGGAGUUCGGCAGGGGAGACUGGAAUUCCUGGUGUAGCGGUGAAAUGCGCAGAUAUCAGGAGGAACACCGGUGGCGAAGGCGGGUCUCUGGGCCAUUACUGACGCUGAGGAGCGAAAGCGUGGGGAGCGAACAGG
rnacentral:rRNA from 1 species